AUGUUUUCAAAGAGUUCGAACUUCUUUGGUUCUGAGCCGAGAUUAGUCUCAAUGACGCGUUUUUGCCAAGAACGGACGAACAAGGCUAGUCUCGACUCAAAACUUCUUGGCAAAAUUGGGCAGAUCGUCUCCUAUUUUUCCCUUUUCAAAUUCGGACCAAUCUCUGUUUGGUGACGGUUUGGAGGAAUAUGGUGAGAGACUGAAGGUCAUGGGUGAAGAAAGGUAGGAGAACUGAAAUUUGGGGAGAGGAAUAGAGUUAUGGUUGAGAGAGGUGGAAGAGACGAGGAAGGUGAGAGAUACAGAACUAAACAGUCUUGGUCUCUAAAGAAAAUUCGGACAUAUUAAUGGAAAUAAAGUCCCUAGUUCCUGGUCGUUGGAUAGAUGGAGAUGGACAGCCAGGAUUAAACAACGUCCAAACGGUGUCGUUUCGGAUGAAGGGGCUCUGGGCCGGGUCAAUGAAAUGGGGCAGACGGGUAUUUGAGACAAGGGAGAUGUUCUGGGCCUGAAUAAUGCAAACUAAAUUGGCCCAAUAUCUUCUCUUCAAUUCAUUUCAAUUCUUUCUCUCUUUUUUUCAAAUUAAAUAAAAAUUAACAAUAGUUCCUAGAACUUAUUACCCUAAAAAACUGAUUAAACCUACAAUGAUAAUUAAAAGGAUUAAUUAACAAAUAAAUUAACGGGAAAACUACUCAAAGUCAAAGCUAAAAUAAAAAUGCAAAAUUGAACUAUUUUUUGGGAUUUUUCGUAUUUUGUUCUAAAAUAGAUUAACCUCUAAUUAACACUAAAAUAUAAAAUUAAAUCCUAAAUGCAAAAAUAUUUUUUGUAUUUUUUAUAUGAAUUAGCAUGCACAAAUAAGAUGCAAACAACUAACACAAAAUUCACAAAAAUUUUAAAAAUAAGAAAAACAUCUUUUUGUUUGAGUUUUAUGGGAAUAAUUCAUAUAGAGGACAAAAAUCACAUGCUCACAACCGCUUCCUCCUCUUUGUUCCCAAUUUCUCUUGUAGGUUGCAGAUUCCCUGUUGCUGAGAAAUUCAGUCUGCGACGAACUAGUUCAGUGCUUUCCUUCGUAGCAGGUUUCAUUGCAGAUUCCCCCUUUCAUUUUAACUUUCCUCCACGAUUGGUUGAAUUUUUUGUGGUAGGAAGCUUCCAAACAUCAUAGGCCUCAUUUUCUGUUGAAUCCCAGUAUCUGGUGUUACUAUCUUGUCACCUUGAGAUGGUUUUUGAAACACUAUGGGGGCACUGCUCAUACCAGUUAACCACCGUCAUGUUUGUACUUGAGUUGGUGUUACUGAACUUGCAUCAUUAUCCUUCUCUCCCAAUGGCGAUGGGAGCUUCUUCCGUUGUCUAGCC
rnacentral:lncRNA from 1 species